UAUUGGACAAUGGGGGGAACCCUGAUGCAGCGACGCCGCGUGCGUGAGGAAGUAUUUCGGUAUGUAAAGCUCUAUCAGCAGGGAAGAAAAUGACGGUACCUGACUAAGAAGCCCCGGCUAAUUACGUGCCAGCAGCCGCGGUAAUACGUCGGGGGCAAGCGUUAUCCGGAUUUACUGGGUGUAAAGGGAGCGUAGACGGAAUUGCAAGUCUGAUGUGAAAAUCCGGGGCCCAACCCCGGAACUGCAUUGGAAACUGUAUUUCUAGAAUGUCGGAGAGGCAAGUGGAAUUCCUGGUGUAGCGGUGAAAUGCGUAGAUAUCAGGAGGAACACCAGUGGCGAAGGCGGCUUGCUGGACGAUGACUGACGUUGAGGCUCGAAAGCGUGGGGAGCAAACAGGA
rnacentral:rRNA from 1 species